CGGCAUCCCUCUUCCCUCCUGUCUCUCUCUCUCUCUCUCUCUCUCUCGCUAGUCGCUACCCUCUCGCUCAUACGACUGUCGGGCCGCCGCCGCCCUAGGCCAGGGCCCAGGUGCUGAGGCUUUCCUUGGUCUCUUCGCCGGCGACGAUCACCCACCAGGAAUAUUGGAGAUGUGCCUUCAACACUCUAGGGCUCGAUUGUCUCCAGACGAGCAACUCGCUGCAGAAAGAAGUUUUGCCUUGUAUUGCAAGCCAAUUGAGCUGUACAAUAUUAUCCAGAGGCGAGCCGUUAAAAAUCCCCCUUUUAUUCAAAGAUCCCUUCUAUAUAAGAUACAGGCAAGGAGAAAAAAGAGGAUUCAAAUAACUGUAUCACUUUCUGCAAGUGCAAAUACACAAGCACCGAAUAUCUUUCCCCUUCAUGUACUUUUAGCUAGACCUACCAGUAAUAUUUCGCUUGAAGGGCAUUCUCCGAUAUAUCGAUUCAGUAGGGUUUGCUUGCUUACAAAUUUUAGUGAAUUUGGAAAUAAAGGCAAAACUGAAGCCACAUUCAUCAUCCCUGAUGUGAAGAAUUUGUCAACCUCCCGUGCUUGCAACCUUAACAUUAUAUUAAUUAGCUGUGGGCAAGUAGGACAAAUUAUUGGUGAAGAUAGCUGCUCCGGGAAUGAUGUGGAAAGAUCUUCCCUCCAAAAGCUUGAAGGGAAAUGUUCCUGGGGUAAAAUACCGACUAAUGUACUUGCAUCCUCUUUGGAGAAAUGUGUGACUUUAAGUACAGGAGAUGCUGUGGAUUUGGCUUCGACAGUUACAAUGAGCCCAAGCUUCUUAGAGCCAAAAUUUCUUGAACAAGACAGUUGUUUGACAUUUUGCUCUCAUAAGGUUGAUGCUACGGGUUCAUACCAAUUAGAAGUAUGCAUAUCUGCAGAAGAGGCUGGUGCAAGAGAAUUACUUUUGUCUCCUUAUUAUUGUAAUUACUCAUAUGAUAAUGUCCCACCUUCGUUAUUACCAGAAAUCAUAAGGUUGAGAGCUGGAAAUGUACUUUUUAAUUACAAGUACUACAAUAAUACAAUGCAAAAGACUGAAGUUACUGAAGAUUUUUCCUGCCCAUUUUGCUUGGUACCAUGUGGAAGCUUCAAGGGCCUGGGAUGCCACUUAAACUCAUCACAUGACCUGUUCCACUAUGAGUUCUGGAUAUCUGAAGAGUGCCAGGCUGUGAAUGUUAGUCUGAAGGCUGAUGCCUGGAAAACUGAGUCUGUGGCAGAGGGAGUUGAUCCAAGGCAUCAAACAUUUUCUUACUGCUCGAGGUUUAAGAAGCGUAGAAGGUUGGAAACGACAGCUGAGAAAUUCAGGCAUGUUCACCCACAUAUUAUGGAAUCAGGAUCACAUGAAGAUGCCCAGGCAGGGUCUGAAGAUGACUAUGCACAAAGGGAGAACGGGCUUUCUGUAGCACACGCUGCAGUUGACCCUAGUCAGCCUGUACAUGGGAGCAAUCUUUCACUACCAACAGUGCUACAGUUUGGGAAGUCGAGGAAACUAUCUAUUGAGCGAUCUGACCCCAGAAAUCGACAACUGCUGCAAAAGCGUCAGUUCUUCCAUUCACACAGGGCACAGCCAAUGCCAUUGGAACAAGUCUUCUCAGAUCAUGAUAGUGAAGACGAGGUUGAUGAUGAUAUUGCUGACUUUGAGGAUAGAAGGAUGCUUGACGAUUUUGUUGAUGUUACAAAAGAUGAGAAGCUUAUUAUGCAUAUGUGGAAUUCAUUUGUUCGAAAACAAAGGGACCAUCAUGUAAGAGUCAAGGAAGAAGAAAUCUAAGAUAGUCCCGGAGGAAGGGUGUCUAUCCAGGGUCUCUCUCUGCUAAUCCAUCUAUCGGGUGCUAGCUGAUGGUCAUAUACCUUGGGCCUGCGAGGCAUUCUCCAGAUGCCAUGGACAACAGCUUGUACAAAACCCUGCCCUGCUGUGGGGCUGGCGUUUCUUCAUGAUUAAACUCUGGAACCACAGCCUUCUCGAUGCCCGUGCCAUGAAUACUUGCAACACAAUUCUUCAAGGCUACCAAGACGGAAGUUCGGACCCCAAGUAAAUUUAAUACAAAAAAAAUGUUGGCCAACUUGUGUAUAAUGGCACUGGAUGUAGAUCUGCCAAUUCGAGGGGUUACUUCUGAACCCGAAAACAACUAUGGGAAGAAUUUGAAUGGACCAUACCAGCAUUUGUUUUAACUUUUAAGGUUUAAGGGUAGCUACCCCCCACCUGGAAAACCUGGAAAGAAACUAGGAGGGCGAAGCUGGAUCCUUGGCCGAGAUAAUCAUUGUUUCAUUCAUGACUCAUUGUAUUGAUUGAUCCAGUUGUUGGCAGAUGGAGUUGUAUGGAUGAUAAUGAUAAAUGAAGUGAUUCACCGCAGUCCUUA